GGCAAUUGCAGUGAUGUUGACAUUAAUCCCAGCUCGAUGAGACCUUAUUUUCAAGGUCUUGGAUUAAACUUUGUUUCCAACACAUCUAUGUCUGAGCUAUUGCC
rfam:Capsicum annuum cultivar Zunla-1 chromosome 8, whole genome shotgun sequence